AACAGGAUUUGAUACCCUGGUAGUCCACGCCGUAAACGGUGGGUACUAGGUGUGGGUUUCCUUCCUUGGGAUCCGUGCCGUAGCUAACGCAUUAAGUACCCCGCCUGGGGAGUACGGCCGCAAGGCUAAAACUCAAAGGAAUUGACGGGGGCCCGCACAAGCGGCGGAGCAUGUGGAUUAAUUCGAUGCUACGCGAAGAACCUUACCUGGGUUUGACAUGCACAGGACGCCGGUAGAGAUAUCGGUUCCCUUGUGGCCUGUGUGCAGGUGGUGCAUGGCUGUCGUCAGCUCGUGUCGCGAGAUGUUGGGUUAAGUCCCGCAACGAGCGCAACCCUUGUCUCAUGUUGCCAGCGCGUUAUGGCGGGGACUCGUGAGAGACUGCCGGGGUCAACUCGGAGGAAGGUGGGGAUGACGUCAAGUCAUCAUGCCCCUUAUGUCCAGGGCUUCACACAUGCUACAAUGGCCGGUACAAAGGGCUGCGAUGCCGCGAGGCUUAGCGAAUCCUUUAAAGCCGGUCUCAGUUCGGAUCGGGGUCUGCAGCUCGACCCCGUGAAGUCGGAGUCGCUAGUAAUCGCAGAUCAGCAACGCUGCGGUGAAUACGUUCCCGGGCCUUGUACACACCGCCCGUCACGUCAUGAAAGUCGGUAACACCCGAAGCCAGUGGCCUAACCCUUGUGGGGGGAGCUGUCGAAGGUGGGAUCGGCGAUUGGGACGAAGUCGUAACAAGGUAAC
rnacentral:rRNA from 1 species